rnacentral:lncRNA from 1 species
CACCAGCCAAUAGAUUGAUUUGGGGCUGUAGCUUGUUUUUCUAGCAGUUGCUGGAGUUCCUGUUCUCUUUGCCAGCGUGGCUGAAGCUUUUCUAUAACCCUCGGGUUAUAGCAAUGAAUUUCCAUUUAGCCAUGACAAAUGACUUUGCUGCUCCCCUCUCUCUCCACCGGGCCCCCCUCCUUGUUCUGAAGUCUCCCUCUUAGAGGUAGCUCGAGGGCCUUCCCUUAAUGUGACGGGAGCAGGUACUGGCACUUCCAGUCCUCAGAGCUGGUAUCACUCCAGAACAGGCUGAUUAUGAUGCAGAGGGGAGAGAGGCUGGGGUAGGGGAAAGACGAUGAGAAGAGGAAGAUGAGAGCUGGGUUGCAGUGUGAGCCAGCUUUGCCCAGCCCCACAAUCCCUGCUAAGGAUAAGGAAGUCUCAUACCCCAGGCCCCACCUGCUGGAACAAGGUGUACUCCAAGCAUGUGACAGGAGAACUUCAGAAAUUCAAACCAUCCCUCAUCCAGAUUUCCACAGCGGGACUUGGCCCUGCCAACUCAUUGCCAUGUUUCAGCAGGUACAAGGCAACUCUUAGAGACAUCCUUUCAAUGCACUCUUCAGGAUAUAAAGCCUUAGGAUAAAGUACAAAUUCAGAUUGGGGAGACAAAAAGGUCCAGCUGCCCUUGGGCCACUCCUGCCCCCAGCAAAGUAGGAGAAAGACUUCUUCCCACCCUUAAUCCUCCCACGUCCUUCUCUCAUAUUUGGCCAGGUAAAUCCACUACCUUUUCAACCAAGGAUUUAGUAGCAGCUAACUCAGAAUACAUGGCACCCCACUCCAGUACUCUUGCCUGGAAAAUCCCAUGGACAGAGGAGCCUGGUAGACUGCAGUCCAUGGGGUCACUAGGAGUCAGACACGACUGAGCGACUUCAUUUUCACUUUUCACUCUCAUGCAUUGGAGAAGGAAAUGGCAACCCACUCCAGUGUUCUUGCCUGGAGAAUCCCAGGGACAGGGGAGCCUGGUGGGUUGCCAUCGAUGGGGUCACACAGAGUCGGACACGACUGAAGCGACUUAGCAGCAGUAGCAGCAGCAACUCAGAAUAUGGGCUUCCCUGGUGGCUCAGUGAUAAAGAAUCUGCCUGCCAAUGCAGGAGUCACAGGUUCGAUCCCUGGGUCGGGAUGGUCCCCUGGAGAAGGAAAUAGCAACCCACUCCAGUAUUCUUGCCUGGGAAAUCCCAUGGACAGAGGAGCCCAGCAGGCUGGUCCAUGGAGUCACGAGAGUUGGACACAACUGAGCAACUAAACAAUAACAAUUCAGAGUAUGAGCAGACCUUUUCUCUUGGGAAAGUAUUUUGAAGAGAACCGAAAAUCCGGAACUCCCAAGAGAGCAGAAGAAGAAGUUAGGCAG